UACGUAGGGGGCGAGCGUUGUCCGGAUUUAUUGGGCGUAAAGAGCGUGUAGGCGGCCAGGUAGGUCUGCUGUGAAAACUCGAGGCUCAACCUCGAGACGUCGGCGGAAACCAUUUGGCUAGAGUCCGGAAGAGGAAAGUGGAAUUCCUGGUGUAGCGGUGAAAUGCGCAGAUAUCAGGAAGAACACCCGUGGCGAAGGCGGCUUUCUGGGACGGUACUGACGCUGAGACGCGAAAGCGUGGGGAGCGAACAGG
rnacentral:rRNA from 1 species